rnacentral:rRNA from 1 species
GACGAACGCUGGCGGCGUGCCUAAUACAUGCAAGUCGAACGCAGUGGGGACGGGUGAGUAACACGUGGGUAACCUCCCCUCAGAGGGGAUAACACUUGGAAACAGGUGCUAAACCGAUACUGAUGGAUGGACCCGGGGUGGAUUAGCUAGUGGGUGAGGUAACGGCGCACCAAGGCGACGAUGCGUACCCGGACUGAGAGGAUGAUCGGCCACACUGGAACAGAGACACGGCCCAGACUCCUACGGGAGGCAGCAGUGGGGAAUAUUCGGCAAUGGACGAAAGUCUGACCGAGCAACGCCGCGUGAGUGAAGAAGGUUUUCGGAUUGUAAAGCACUGUUGUUAGAGAAGCGGUAUCAAAACAGAAAGCAACGGCGAACUACGUGCCAGCAGCCGCGGUAAUAC